rnacentral:ncRNA from 2 species
GGGAAACUUUAGGGGUGUCCUUUUCGGACUGAGAUCAUACCCUACGAACCUGAUGCAGUUAGUACUGCCGAAGGGAAAAGUGAAAUAAUGCAU